UAUUUGAAAAAGGAACAACAAAAAGAAUGGAAAGAUUACAAGGAUAAGACUGUGAAAAACUCCUUGUAUUAUAAUGGAAUUAUUCCAGGCUUUGGAAAAUGGGACCAUUACUGGACCAGCAUUCCUAGGAACCUCAAGGACACCUUAGUCAGUUAUUAAAAAUACCAGCUCGUAAGAAGCUGGGGAUUUCAGCAUGCA